rnacentral:lncRNA from 1 species
AUUUCAUAAAAAUCUGGAUUAAUCCUUGAUAGAAUUGAUCCGGAUCACAAGCUAUCAGUUUUUACAGUUGUUGACUAUAGCUCCAAAACCCUCGUCCAUGGCUUCCCUUGUGAUGUGAUCCGGUCGGUCUAUGACGACCCAUGAUGCAGAGCCGGAAAACAACCAGAUCGGGAAAGUUCUGAGACAUUGUAACGACGGCAGCAUUGGUCGUCAUGGAUUGGCAGAAAUAGAGUAUGGAGUGAAGCUUCCGACAACCCUCGGAUAUUGCUACGAGACCCACAUCAGUCACGAGACUCUCCGUGUCCUCGCUAGGCUCGAUUGUAAACACCCGG